rnacentral:rRNA from 1 species
UAAGGAAUAUUGGACAAUGGAGGCAACUCUGAUCCAGCCAUGCCGCGUGAAGGAAUAAGGCCCUAUGGGUUGUAAACUUCUUUUAGACGGGACAAAACCCCUUUACGUGUAAAGGGUUGAUGGUACUGUCAGAAUAAGCAUCGGCUAACUUCGUGCCAGCAGCCGCGGUAAUACGAAGGAUGCAAGCGUUAUCCGGAAUUAUUGGGUUUAAAGGGUGCGUAGGCGGACUAAUAAGUCAGUGGUGAAAGCCUGCAGCUUAACUGCAGAAUUGCCAUUGAUACUGUUAGUCUUGAGUACAGUUGAGGUAGGCGGAAUGUGUCAUGUAGCGGUGAAAUGCUUAGAUAUGACACAGAACACCGAUUGCGAAGGCAGCUUGCUAAGCUAUAACUGACGCUGAGGCACGAAAGCGUGGGGAGCAAACA